CCUACGGGAGGCAGCAGUGGGGAAUAUUGCACAAUGGGGGAAACCCUGAUGCAGCGACGCCGCGUGAGCGAAGAAGUAUUUGGGUAUGUAAAGCUCUAUCAGCAGGGAAGAAAAUGACGGUACCUGACUAAGAAGCUCCGGCUAAAUACGUGCCAGCAGCCGCGGUAAUACGUAUGGAGCAAGCGUUAUCCGGAUUUACUGGGUGGAAAGGGAGCGUAGGCGGUAAGGCAAGUCUGAUGUGAAAGGCAAGGGCUCAACCCUGGGACUGCAUUUGAAACUGUUUAACUGGAGUGUCGGAGAGGCAAGUGGAAUUCCUUGUGUAGCGGUGAACUGCGUAGAUAUUAGGCGGCACACCAGUGGCGAAGGCGGCUUGCUGGACGAUGACUGACGCUGAGGCUCGAAAGCGUGGGGAGCAAACAGGAUUAGAUACCCCGGUAGUC
rnacentral:rRNA from 1 species